rnacentral:lncRNA from 1 species
UUUUUUUUUUUUGAGGAUUCUAAAGCAUUCACUAAUGAAGCUGACAAAAUAAGGCAAGCAUUUCCCCUUAGUUCUCAUCGUACAUGGCCAAUAGCACCCUCUUCCUCACUUCCAGAAUCGUUCCAACUUCUUUGGAAUUCCUCAAUUCCAAUGAAGGCUGAGGGCUCAUCCCAAGGAACGAAAGGAAGGUGAUUUAUUUUUCAGACAUUCUCAGCAACAUUUCCUGAACACAUUGUGCCAGACUAGCACCAGGGUUAUAGAUCCAGAUGCAGGUACAUGUUGGUCCCCACCCUCCUGGAUCCUGGGUGCAGGGUCCCACUCUCCUUCCGUUCUCUUCCCUGACCACAUGCCUCCCGCUGAAACCUACUGCAGUACCCAGGGCCUCCUCCUACAGCUGUCCCACAAAGGCUCUGGACCAAAAGGGACAGGGAGGCAGAAAUCCAGCCCAUGCUCUGAUUGGUGCACCUGCCCAGAGGGCGACUUUUCUCAUCACUCAGAGGGGCCAUGAAAGCUAGUGAUAGCCAGUGCAAUGCCUGCGUGGCAUAGCUGAAUUUCUACCAUGUCCUGACUCUGCUUGUCUUUGAGAAACAGGAUGCCUGCAAUAAAAAGUUCCCUUUGUAACCAGACCAACUGGGAGUGGUUAGAGCCAAGAUAGCCCAUCAUCAGGCUUCAUUCUAAUCUCAUCUCCAUGCUAAAUGAUGCUCCCACCAGUGCUAUGACAGGUUGACAAUCACCAUGACAAUGACCAGAAGAAGCCAUCAAAGGACAAAAAGGAAGGCAGCCCUUCGGUUCCAAAGAAGUUCACCACCCAAUUACAGAAAAUAUGAGAAUAUUUCUACCCUGGCUUUUAACGUCCAACUCCUUCAAGAGAGAAAUCCUAUAUUCUCACCCCUUCACCCUUCACUUGUUGAGAAGUCGAUUUGUGAGCCAGGCUCUCGCUCCUCAAUUCCAUGGCCAUCGAAUCAGUCCUGCACUGCUUGACACUCAGUUUCGGCUUUGUGUAUUGGCUUCAUGACACCAAACAGGGAAAGACCCCAUCUUUCUGAGGACCAGCUUUGCCCCCUGGCAGCACAUAUAACCACAGACCAUUCUCCUACUGACAGAAGGGGGCUCCUCCAGGAUGCCAUAUUCUCUUUAAAAGGGAACAUCCCAUUUCCAGCCACAGGGUUCACAUGUGAUACAGCAAAGAGCAUCUCUCAGCCUCCCGAGGCAAUUCUCACUUCUCAUCUACAGGACCUUCUAAGCACCGAUCUCGGUGGCCACUGCCCUCCCUUGCACAUCCCCAAUUCCCCUAUCCUGUUUUUUUCCAAGUCUCAGAGAAGUGAUGCUGUGCCCAGUGGCCGUGGUCAUCCCGCACCUACACCUGAGCCUGAAGCUGGUCUGCUCACAGGCAUGGGGUUAGUGCCCACUAACCUAGGAUGAACCAGUCCCCAGAUCCAUGAUGAGCCUCCUAGUCUACCUUCGUUCCAUUCACAUUUGCCCCUGAUGAAUCCAUAAGGCCCCAGGAAGUCCCCCAUGCCCUUUCCAGAAGACUGGCAGGCUCCCAAAGAGCCUGACUUGGGUUAUGACAAACCUGGGAUCCAGUCCCAGUUCUCCUAACUUACUAGUUAUAAGAGCUUGGCUAAGUCAAUUAACCUUUCUGAGCUUGAAUUCCUCGUCUAAAAAAUAAGGAUGAUCAUAAAAUUCACUCCAAGGAGCUGCCAUGAGAAACAAGUGAAAUAUUGCAUAAGAACUGCCUGACAACCAGGCGCGGUGGCUCACACCUGUAAUCUCAGCACUUUGAGAGGCCGAGGCAGGCGGAUCACCUGAGGUCAGGAGUUUGAGACCAGGCUGGCCAACAUGAUGGAACCCCAUCUCUACUAAAAAUACAAGAAUUACCCGGGCGUGGUAGCACAUGCCUGUAGUCCCAGCUACUCGGGAGGCUGAGGCAGGAGAAUCACUUGAACCCGGGAAGCAGAGGUUAC